GGAAGGCCUUUGGGUUGUAAACCUCUUUUCUCAGGGAAGAAGAUCUGACGGUACCUGAGGCAUAAGCAUCGGCUAACUCCGUGCCAGCAGCCGCGGUAAUUCGGAGGAUGCAAGCGUUAUCCGGAAUUAUUAGGCGUAAAGCGUCCGCAGGUGGUCUUUCAAGUCUGCUGUCAAAGACCAGAGCUUAACUCUGGGCAGGCAGUGGAAACUGAGAGACUAGAGUUCGGUAGGGGUAGCGGGGAUUCCCAGUGUAGCGGUGAAAUGCGUAGAUAUUGGGAAGAACAUCGGUGGCGAAGGCGUGCUACUGGACCGAAACUGAC
rnacentral:rRNA from 1 species